rnacentral:rRNA from 1 species
UCGAACGGCAGCACGGGAGCUAUCCUGGUGGCGAGUGGCGAACGGCUGAGUAAUAUAUCGGAACGUGCCCAGUCGUGGGGGAUAACGCAGCGAAGGCUGUGCUAAUACCGCAUACGAUCUCUGGAUGAAAGCGGGGGACUCGCAAGAGCCUCGCGCGAUUGGAGCGGCCGAUAUCAGAUUAGCUAGUUGGUGGGGUAAAAGCCCACCAAGGCGACUAUCUGUAGCUGGUCUGAGAGGACGACCAGCCACACUGGAACUGAGACACGGUCCAGACUCCUACGGGAGGCAGCAGUGGGGAAUUUUGGACAAUGGGCGCAAGCCUGAUCCAACAAUGCCCCGUGCAGGAUGAAGGCCUUCGGGUUGCAAACUGCUUUUGUACGGAACGAAACGGUCCUUUCUAAUACAAGGGGCUAAUGACGGUACCGUAAGAAUAAACACCGGCUAACUACGUGCCCGCCGCCGCGGUAAUACAUAGGGUGCGAGCGUUAAUCCGAAUUACUGGGCGUAAAGCGUGCGCAGGCGGUUAUAUAAGACAGAUGUGAAAUCCCCGGGCUCAACCUGGGCACUGCAUUUGUGACUGUAUAGCUAGAGCACCGUUAGA